UUGUAAUCUGUGUUUGAAUUCACCAAUCAUUUUUUCGCCUAGCCAUAUUGUAUAUGCUUCGAUUUCGCACCGAAUUCUAUAAAAGGAAAACCAUAAAAAAUUGCAGUCAGAAAGUCAACAAGUUACUCGAAUUUUCAAAAAAUGGAAAAACCUACGUUAGAAGAAAAUCACGACCAGGCAUCCAAGAUAGAUGACCUGAGUGCCUUUCUUCGCGUCCCCAAGACCCAUUUGACCAACAGUUCAUAACGACAUAGGGUGCGCUACUGCCAUA